rnacentral:rRNA from 1 species
CCCUUAGAUGUUCUGGGCCGCACGCGCGCUACACUGAUGCAUUCAACGAGUUUCUUCCUGGUCCGAGAGGAAUGGGUAACCUUUUGAAAGUGCAUCGUGAUAGGGAUAGACUAUUGCAAUUAUUGGUCUUCAACGAGGAAUUCCUAGUAGACGUAGUUCAUCAGACUGCAUCGAUUACGUCCCUGCCCUUUGUACACACCGCCCGUCGCUCCUACCGAUUGAGUGGUCCGGUGAAUUAUUCGGACUGCAACGCGUUCAGCUUCUGGAUGCAGUUGCGGAAAGUUUUGUAAACCUUAUCACUUAGAGGAAGGAGAAGUCGUAACA